rnacentral:tRNA from 1 species
AAGGAAGAGUAGGUAGACAACUAGCAGUGCUAAUGCUUGUUCCCAAGGCUAAAUUCCAUGGCUUCCUUG